GCCUACAGCCAUACCAUCCUGCAAGCGCCUGAUCCUGUCUGAUCUCAGAAGAUAAAAAGAAAAUAGAAACAAAAGCUGAAUGUG
rnacentral:rRNA from 12 species